GCCAACCUACACAACGCACAGUCGUUUGAGAACCCGUCUGUACAAGCCAGUCACACGUUCAACACACAGCAAAGUACAUUUUCGUCAGCUAGUAGUCACCGCCUACCCAAACUUUCGCUUCCAAUAUUCUCAGGCAACAUCUUAGAAUGGCAAACUUUCUGGGACUCAUAUGAGUCGGCCGUACACCUUAACUUGUCACUUACAAAUGUACAAAAAUUCAAUUACUUGAAAGCACAGCUAGAACAUGAAGCAUUAGAA
rnacentral:lncRNA from 1 species